GAUGAACGCUGGCGGCGUGCCUAAUACAUGCAAGUCGAGCGAACAGACGAGGAGCUUGCUCCUUUGACGUUAGCGGCGGACGGGUGAGUAACACGUGGGUAACCUACCUAUAAGACUGGGAUAACUUCGGGAAACCGGAGCUAAUACCGGAUAAUAUUUUGAACCGCAUGGUUCGAUAGUGAAAGAUGGCUUUGCUAUCACUUAUAGAUGGACCUGCGCCGUAUUAGCUAGUUGGUAAGGUAACGGCUUACCAAGGCAACGAUACGUAGCCGACCUGAGAGGGUGAUCGGCCACACUGGAACUGAGACACGGUCCAGACUCCUACGGGAGGCAGCAGUAGGGAAUCUUCCGCAAUGGGCGAAAGCCUGACGGAGCAACGCCGCGUGAGUGAUGAAGGUCUUCGGAUCGUAAAACUCUGUUAUUAGGGAAGAACAAACGUGUAAGUAACUGUGCACGUCUUGACGGUACCUAAUCAGAAAGCCACGGCUAACUACGUGCCAGCAGCCGCGGUAAUACGUAGGUGGCAAGCGUUAUCCGGAAUUAUUGGGCGUAAAGCGCGCGUAGGCGGUUUUUUAAGUCUGAUGUGAAAGCCCACGGCUCAACCGUGGAGGGUCAUUGGAAACUGGAAAACUUGAGUGCAGAAGAGGAAAGUGGAAUUCCAUGUGUAGCGGUGAAAUGCGCAGAGAUAUGGAGGAACACCAGUGGCGAAGGCGACUUUCUGGUCUGUAACUGACGCUGAUGUGCGAAAGCGUGGGGAUCAAACAGGAUUAGAUACCCUGGUAGUCCACGCCGUAAACGAUGAGUGCUAAGUGUUAGGGGGUUUCCGCCCCUUAGUGCUGCAGCUAACGCAUUAAGCACUCCGCCUGGGGAGUACGACCGCAAGGUUGAAACUCAAAGGAAUUGACGGGGACCCGCACAAGCGGUGGAGCAUGUGGUUUAAUUCGAAGCAACGCGAAGAACCUUACCAAAUCUUGACAUCCUUUGACCCUUCUAGAGAUAGAAGUUUCCCCUUCGGGGGACAAAGUGACAGGUGGUGCAUGGUUGUCGUCAGCUCGUGUCGUGAGAUGUUGGGUUAAGUCCCGCAACGAGCGCAACCCUUAAGCUUAGUUGCCAUCAUUAAGUUGGGCACUCUAAGUUGACUGCCGGUGACAAACCGGAGGAAGGUGGGGAUGACGUCAAAUCAUCAUGCCCCUUAUGAUUUGGGCUACACACGUGCUACAAUGGACAAUACAAAGGGCAGCAAAACCGCGAGGUCAAGCAAAUCCCAUAAAGUUGUUCUCAGUUCGGAUUGUAGUCUGCAACUCGACUACAUGAAGCUGGAAUCGCUAGUAAUCGUAGAUCAGCAUGCUACGGUGAAUACGUUCCCGGGUCU
rnacentral:rRNA from 1 species